UGGGGAAUUUUGGACAAUGGGGGCAACCCUGAUCCAGCCAUGCCGCGUGUGUGAAGAAGGCCUUCGGGUUGUAAAGCACUUUCGGACGGAACGAAAUCGCGCGGGCGAAUACCCCGCGUGGAUGACGGUACCGUAAGAAGAAGCACCGGCUAACUACGUGCCAGCAGCCGCGGUAAUACGUAGGGUGCGAGCGUUAAUCGGAAUUACUGGGCGUAAAGUGUGCGCAGGCGGCCGAGCAAGUCGAGUGUGAAAGCCCCGAGCUUAACUUGGGAAUUGCGCUCGAAACUACUUGGCUGGAGUGUGGCAGAGGAGGGUGGAAUUCCACGUGUAGCGGUGAAAUGCGUAGAUAUCAGGAGGAACACCGGUGGUGUAGACGGCUUUCUGGACCAUUACUGACGCUGAGGCACGAAAGCGUGGGGAGCAAACAGGAUUAGAUACCCCCGUAGUCCCUGAGCGGGCUGGCAAGGCGCAU
rnacentral:rRNA from 1 species